rnacentral:rRNA from 1 species
AUGAAGGAGGAUGUUAUCUCAGCUGUGCGGUUAUUCUUUGAGUCGGGACACAUGCCAGAGGGGGUGAAUAUGACAACCAUAGUGCUGAUUCCAAAGAUUGAUGAACCAAGUAAGUUGUCAGAUUUCCGUCCCAUAAGUCUAUGCAACGUGAUUUAUAAGGUGAUUGCAAAGUGUCUGGUCAACAGGUUGAGGCCCCUGCUUGGUGAGCUAAUUUCACCAGAGCAGAGUGCCUUUGUCCCAGGUAGACUCAUUACAGAUAAUGCGUUCAUUGCUUUCGAGUGUACUCAUUUUAUUCGGCAUGAGAAAAACCCGGACAAAAUUUUUUGUGCCUAUAAGCUGGACUUGUCCAAGGCGUAUGACCGGGUGGAUUGGAUUUUCCUGGAGCGAGUGAUGCAACAGUUGGGUUUCGAUCAUCGAUGGGUGAAAUGGAUAAUGUCAUGUGUCACCUCGGUGAGAUACACUGUCAAAAUUAAUGGAGCCUACUCGGAUUCAUUUGCACCGUCGCGAGGGCUACGGCAGGGAGAUCCUUUAUCACCAUUCUUAUUUUUGUUUAUUGUGGACGGCCUAGCAGCACUGCUUAAGGAGAAGGAGAGGGAGUCUCAUAUUACGCCUCUGAAAGUGUGCCCGCGGGCACCAGGGAUUUCCCAUCUCCUUUUUGCGGACAAUACUCUCCUAUUUUUUCGUGCUACAGAACGAGAAGCAUUGCAGGUUAAAGGUGUUCUGGAUAUGUUUGCUAGUGCAACAUGGCAACUUAUUAAUCUACAGAAGUGCUCAAUUUUGUCUGGGGAACACUGCCGACAGGGAGAUAAAGAAGAUGUGAUCCGUGUCCUUGAUGUUCAGAAUGUUAGCUUUGAGGAGAAAUAUUUAGCCCUCCCCACACCUAUGGGGCGCAUGUCCAAGGGACGGUUCGAGAACAUCCAACAGAAGUUUACUAAGAGAUUUGUUACAUGGCUUCCAGAAUCAACAUGCGAUGACCUCACAUGGAUGGUUCGGAAUUUUUGGUGGGGAGCGGAAAAGGGAAGACGGAAAACGCACUGGCGAGCAUGGGAGAAACUGAUUCAACCCAAGUCACACGGUGGAAUGGGAUUCAGGGAGUUCUGGCUGUUCAAUCAAGCUUUGCUAGCACGUCAGGCAUGGCGUAUUCUGAAUUUCCCGGACAGUCUAUGCUCUCAAGUAUUGAAGGCCAAGUACUUUCCAUCGGGUAAUCUUGAGGACACGGUGUUCCCUAGUAGUACUUCACAAACGUGGCAAUCGAUAGUGCAUGGACUGGAACUUAUAAAACGUGGUAUCAUCUGGAGAGUUGGCAACGGACAGUCCAUACGUAUAUGGAGAGAUCGAUGGAUACCAAUUUAUGGUAAACCAAUCACGAAACAGGGACGUUGCAGGUUGAGGCGAGUUUCUGAGCUUCUGGAUGAGAGAGGUGAUUGGCGCCUUGACCUCCUCCAUCAAUAUUUUUUACCUGCAGAUAUUAAUCAGAUAAUCAAAAUUCGCACUUCGCCUCGGCUUGGUGCGGAUGUCCUGGCAUGGGAACCAGAACGGAAUGGUAUUUUCUCUGUCCGGAGCGCGUAUCGGCUGGCUCUCGAUGAUCGUCUUCGUCAAUCUUCAAUCGCGGCGAGCAGGGCACCGGAUGGGCGACGAGCCAUCUGGGCUUUAUUAUGGAGGUGCCCUGCUUCUCCGAAGGUGCGUGUGUUUACGUGGCGUGUGGCUACUGAUUGUUUACCCACUUGGACUAAUAAGCACUAUUGUAAACUUGAAGUCUCUAAUCUGUGCCCAUUGUGUGCUAUCGAACCGGAGGACACAUUGCAUGCUCUAUGUAGAUGCCCACCAGCAGUCGAGCUGUGGCGAGAAAUGGCAAAACAAUGGGACAUUCCAGACGUCCGGAGGCUAGUGAACACAGGGACGGAUUGGCUCCUCCAGGUGUUGGCGGAGCUGUCAGAGGAAGGGCGCUUGUGUACGCUGAUGACACUAUGGAGAUGCUGGCAUGUGCGCAAUGAGAUCGUCCACAACAAACGUCCGCCACCCAUCAAGGUGUCGACCCGGUUUCUCUCUAGUUACAUUACCUCCCUGCUAGUCGUACAAGCCAGCCCUCAUGCUGAUCAUGUCAAAGGUAAAAUGGGAGCCGAUCAACUAAGCAAGAACAGCCCGUUAUUACAUGUGCGCUGGGAGCGGAAGAAGCUUGCCUGGGAGCCUCCGCCGAUGGGCUGGGUGGCGUUGAGCAUUGAUGGUUCUUUUUCGGAAGUGGACAACACAGCAGGAGCUGGCAUGGUGCUUAGCAGCGGCGAAUCUAGAAAGAAAAUGAAGGGUGGGCUCAAAGUUUACGCCAAGAAAACUAAACGCUACUCUGAAGAAAAAAGAUGA